GACGAACGCUGGCGGCGUGCUUAACACAUGCAGGUCGAACGGAAAGGCCCUUCGGGGUACUCGAGUGGCGAACGGGUGAGUAACACGUGGGUGAUCUGCCCUGCACUUUGGGAUAAGCCUGGGAAACUGGGUCUAAUACCGAAUAGGACCACGCGCUUCAUGGUGUGUGGUGGAAAGCUUUUGCGGUGUGGGAUGGGCCCGCGGCCUAUCAGCUUGUUGGUGGGGUAAUGGCCUACCAAGGCGACGACGGGUAGCCGGCCUGAGAGGGUGACCGGCCACACUGGGACUGAGAUACGGCCCAGACUCCUACGGGAGGCAGCAGUGGGGAAUAUUGCACAAUGGGCGCAAGCCUGAUGCAGCGAUGCCGCGUGAGGGAUGACGGCCUUCGGGUUGUAAACCUCUUUCAAUAGGGACGAAGCGCAAGUGACGGUACCUAUAGAAGAAGCACCGGCCAACUACGUG
rnacentral:rRNA from 1 species